UAACUYGGNCAUUUAGAGGAAGUACAAGUCGUAACAAGGUUUCCGUAGGUGAACCUGCGGAAGGAUCAUAGUUGUCUGAAUAAGGGAGCGCAGGUCGCUCCCGUUUCACAACCCCAUUUCUAUUGGACCGGCNGUGUUCACUUCAUUGUGACCUGUCCGAUCAGCCAUGCGUAUCUUGGACAUUACUCUUAAAAUAAAACAGUUAACACAACUGGUAGCAUUGGAUCCCUUGGCACGCCAUUCGAUGAAGAACGUUGCAAACUGCGAUAAGUGAUGUGAAAUGCGAGUCCAAAACUUAUACGUGAAUCAUCGAAUCUUUGAACGCAUUGCAUCGAGCUUUGCCCAAGCACGAUAUGCCCCAUUGAGCGUCCUUAAGUCUUUAGGAAUGUUUAUUCAUUUCUAAGUUCGAGUUUCAUGGCAUCACUGUCACGUUACUUUAGAUGCAUUACGCGUCGCACUACNGUUGCGCUCCUUGUUGUACACUUCAAGGCGCUUCCUAAUGCGUUAUCGCACUUANGCUCAANGCCUUUGGCUGAGAGCAGAACCGCGUUCCGUCCUCGGAUGGUCCGCCCUUCCUUGACUUAACCUCACGGGGGCAAGACGACCCGCUAGACUUAAGCAUAUUAAUCAGCGGAGGAAAAGAAACUAACAAGGAUUCCCCUAGUAACU
rnacentral:rRNA from 1 species